UACGGAGGGUGCAAGCGUUGUUCGGAAUUACUGGGCGUAAAGCGCGCGUAGGCGGCUUUGUAAGUUAGAGGUGAAAGCCCGGGGCUCAACCCCGGAAUUGCCUUUAAGACUGCAUCGCUUGAAUCCGGGAGAGGUGAGUGGAAUUCCGAGUGUAGAGGUGAAAUUCGUAGAUAUUCGGAAGAACACCAGUGGCGAAGGCGGCUCACUGGACCGGUAUUGACGCUGAGGUG
rnacentral:rRNA from 1 species